GGUAAUUAAAUUAAUUUUAAGAAAAAUCUUGUUCUUUAAGUUCAAAGGUGAAAUUUGGUGAGGAAAGAGAGUGAGAUUAUUUUUAAUAUUUUUUGAAGUUGUGAAAUCUAAGAAAUAAAAUAGGAUUAGAUACCCUGCUAUACUUAGAUAAAAUUAUAAGUGCUUGAGUAGUAAACAGUUGUGUUCUCGAAACUUAAAGAAUUUGGCGGUAUUUUAGUCUCUUUAGAGGAACCUGUUCCGUAAACGAUACACCACGAAUAAUCUUACCUCUUUAAGCAGUAGCAGCUCGUAUACCGUCAUUAUUAGAUAACUUUUAUAAUUGAUUAUCGAAAUAAAGCUUGUUAAUUAAAUUAGAUCAAGGUGCGGCCAAUAAAGAGGGGUGUAAUGGGUUACAAUAGAAUUGAUGUUAUACGAAGGUGUGAAGUUAAAAUUACACUGAAGGUGGAUUUAAUAGUAAGUUUGUUUUAGUAAGCCAAGCUGAUAAAAGCUCUAAGAUAUGUACACAUCGCCCGUCGCUCUCACAGACAAUGU
rnacentral:rRNA from 1 species